AUUGAACGCUGGCGGCAUGCCUUACACAUGCAAGUCGAACGCGAAAGGGGGCAACCCCGAGUAGAGUGGCGAACGGGUGAGUAAAACAUCGGAACACUUCCUGUAGCGGGGGACAACCUCGAGAAAUCGAGGCUAAUACCGCAUACGAUCUACGGAUGAAAGUGGGGGACCGCAAGGCCUCACACUAUAGGAGUGGCCGAUGCCGGAUUAGCUAGUUGGUGGGGUAACGGCCCACCAAGGCGACGAUCCGUAGCUGGUUUGAGAGAACGACCAGCCACACUGGGACUGAGACACGGCCCAGACUCCUACGGGUGGCAG
rnacentral:rRNA from 1 species